rnacentral:siRNA from 1 species
UUUUUCCUUCUGAUUUUGUGAUGA